rnacentral:rRNA from 1 species
AUUGAACGCUGGCGGCAUGCUUUACACAUGCAAGUCGAACGGCAGCGGGGGCUUCGGCCUGCCGGCGAGUGGCGAACGGGUGAGUAAUGCAUCGGAACGUGCCCAUGUCGUGGGGGAUAACGUAUCGAAAGGUACGCUAAUACCGCAUACGUCCUGAGGGAGAAAGCGGGGGAUCUUCGGACCUCGCGCGAUUGGAGCGGCCGAUGUCGGAUUAGCUAGUAGGUGAGGUAAAGGCUCACCUAGGCGACGAUCCGUAGCGGGUCUGAGAGGAUGAUCCGCCACGCUGGGAGUGAGACACGGCGCAGACUCCUACGGGAGGCAGCAGUGGGGAAUUUUGGACAAUGGGCGCAAGCCUGAUCCGGCCAUGCCGCGUGAGUGAAGAAGGCCUUCGGGUUGUAAAGCUCUUUCGGCCGGGAAGAAAUCGUGUUCUCUAACAUAGGACAUGGAUGACGGUACCGGACUAAGAAGCACCGGCUAACUACGUGCCAGCCGCCGCAGUAA